CUAACCAGGAUUCCCUUAGUAACUGCGAGUGAAGCGGGACUAGCUCAGACUGAAAAUCUUCGGAAUUGUAGUCUGGAGAAGUGUGAUCAGUCUAUUUUAACCAGUGAAGUCUUCUGGAAAGUUGCGCCUUGGAGGGUGACAGCCCCGUUCACGCUGGUUGAGAGAAAUGUACGAUCCACUUUCUACGAGUCGAGUUGUUUGGGAUUGCAGCUCUAAGUGGGUGGUAAAUUCCAUCUAAAGCUAAAUAUUGGUGGGAGACCGAUAGCGAACAAGUACCGUGAGGGAAAGAUGAAAAGAACUUUGAAAAGAGAGUUAAACAGUACCUGAAGUUGCUGAAAUGGAACCGUUAGGAGGCAGUGUUAACAAGGAUUACUUGUAAUCUUUGCAAGUCAGGCUUCUUUUCUUAUGCAAGAAAGGCUUUUGAACCAGUUUGGGUCGAUUUUGCCGUUGUGUUUGAGAAGGACUUUGACGAAAUGCCUCUUAUCACCCCGUCUUGAAACACGGAACCAAGG
rnacentral:rRNA from 1 species